CUCUCUGUAGCUCAGUUGGUUAGAGCGCUGCACCAGAAUUGCAAGACUGCAGGUUCAAUUCAUGCCAGAGACC